CUAGCGACCUUGUCGUGCUGCUGAUGUCUACUACGCAACUUCAUUCUUGUACAUGUUGUUGGGCCUCGGAGUGCAAAGUUUUGUAGGACAAUAACAUAUUUUCCUCAAGAGGAUGACCUAAGGUUUAUCAACCCGAGGGAUGUCUAGGAUGAGGAUGGUCUCUCUCAAGCAACCCUCCAAUCAAAUACAACAAAUAUCUUGUGCCCCCAACACACGCAAAAUAAUGGCAAAUUAUAUA
rnacentral:lncRNA from 1 species